rnacentral:rRNA from 1 species
UACAGAGGUCUCAAGCGUUGUUCGGAUUCAUUGGGCGUAAAGGGUGCGUAGGCGGCGCGGUAAGUCGGGUGUGAAAGCCCUCAGCUCAACUGAGGAAGUGCGCCCGAAACUGCAGAGCUUGAGUACCGGAGAGGAUGGCGGAAUUCCCCAAGUAGAGGUGAAAUUCGUAGAUAUGGGGGAGGAACACCGGUGGCGAAGGCGGCGUCCUGGACCAACACUGACACUGAGGAGCGAAAGCCAGGGGAGCAAACGGG